UUCUAGCUUGCUAGAAGAUGACGAGUGGCGGACGGGUGAGUAAUGCUUGGGAACUUGCCUUUGCGAGGGGGAUAACAGUUGGAAACGACUGCUAAUACCGCAUAAUGUCUUCGGACCAAACGGGGCUUCGGCUCCGGCGCAAAGAGAGGCCCAAGUGAGAUUAGCUAGUUGGUAAGGUAACGGCUUACCAAGGCGACGAUCUCUAGCUGUUCUGAGAGGAAGAUCAGCCACACUGGGACUGAGACACGGCCCAGACUCCUACGGGAGGCAGCAGUGGGGAAUAUUGCACAAUGGGGGAAACCCUGAUGCAGCCAUGCCGCGUGUGUGAAGAAGGCCUUCGGGUUGUAAAGCACUUUCAGUUGUGAGGAAAAGUUAGUAGUUAAUACCUGCUAGCCGUGACGUUAACAACAGAAGAAGCACCGGCUAACUCCGUGCCAGCAGCCGCGGUAAUACGGAGGGUGCGAGCGUUAAUCGGAAUUACUGGGCGUAAAGCGCACGCAGGCGGUUUGUUAAGCUAGAUGUGAAAGCCCCGGGCUCAACCCGGGAUGGUCAUUUAGAACUGGCAGACUAGAGUCUUGGAGAGGGGAGUGGAAUUCCAGGUGUAGCGGUGAAAUGCGUAGAUAUCUGGAGGAACAUCAGUGGCGAAGGC
rnacentral:rRNA from 1 species